CAUCGUGGUUUAUUUUCAGUAAAUCUAAUUGUAUUCAACAAUGGUUACAUGUUCUGUGAGUGAUUGUGGUGUUAAUAAUAGAAAUAAUCCUGAAAAUUGCACAUUUCACAGAUUCCCUCUAGAUACUAUACUAAGAGGAAAAUGGUUGAGAUUAAUUGGGCGCGUUGGUUGGAAUCCAAAGAAGAACUCUACCAUUUGCAGCAAACAUUUCCCGGACGAAUAUAAAAGAAAAAGACGAAUAAAUACAGUUUUAGUUAAAGGAGCCAUUCCAACUUUAUUUGUACCAGGACAUAUAAAAGAGAGAAUCCCGUCAUCGUAUAUCAAUCGGGACAUAGCUCUACCUUCGAUAUCACAAGCUCCA